CCAGACUCCUACGGGAGGCAGCAGUGGGGAAUAUUGCACAAUGGGGGAAACCCUGAUGCAGCGACGCCGCGUGAGCGAAGAAGUAUCUCGGUAUGUAAAGCUCUAUCAGCAGGGAAGAAAAUGACGGUACCUGACUAAGAAGCCCCGGCUAACUACGUGCCAGCAGCCGCGGUAAUACGUAGGGGGCAAGCGUUAUCCGGAUUUACUGGGUGUAAAGGGAGCGUAGACGGCAGGGCAAGUCUGAAGUGAAAGCCCGGGGCCCAACCCCGGGACUGCUUUGGAAACUGUCCGGCUGGAGUGCAGGAGGGGUGGGCGGAAUUCCUAGUGUAGCGGUGAAAUGCGUAGAUAUUAGGAGGAACACCGGCGGCGAAGGCGGCCCACUGGACUGUAACUGACGUUGAGGCUCGAAAGCGUGGGGAGCAAACAGGAUUAGAUACCCGCGUA
rnacentral:rRNA from 1 species